UACGGAGGGGGCUAGCGUUGUUCGGAAUUACUGGGCGUAAAGCGCACGUAGGCGGCUUUGUAAGUUAGAGGUGAAAGCCCAGGGCUCAACCCUGGAAUUGCCUUUAAGACUGCAUCGCUUGAACAUCGGAGAGGUAAGUGGAAUUCCGAGUGUAGAGGUGAAAUUCGUAGAUAUUCGGAAGAACACCAGUGGCGAAGGCGGCUCACUGGACGACUGUUGACGCUGAGGUGCGAAAGCGUGGGGAGCAAACAGG
rnacentral:rRNA from 1 species